AGUGAACGCUGGCGGUAGGCCUAACACAUGCAAGUCGAACGGCAGCACAGGAGAGCUUGCUCUCUGGGUGGCGAGUGGCGGACGGGUGAGGAAUACAUCGGAAUCUACCUUUUCGUGGGGGAUAACGUAGGGAAACUUACGCUAAUACCGCAUACGACCUACGGGUGAAAGUGGGGGACCGCAAGGCCUCACGCGAUUAGAUGAGCCGAUGUCCGAUUAGCUAGUUGGCGGGGUAAUGGCCCACCAAGGCGACGAUCGGUAGCUGGUCUGAGAGGAUGAUCAGCCACACUGGAACUGAGACACGGUCCAGACUCCUACGGGAGGCAGCAGUGGGGAAUAUUGGACAAUGGGCGCAAGCCUGAUCCAGCCAUACCGCGUGGGUGAAGAAGGCCUUCGGGUUGUAAAGCCCUUUUGUUGGGAAAGAAAUCCUGUCGAUUAAUACUCGGUGGGGAUGACGGUACCCAAAGAAUAAGCACCGGCUAACUUCGUGCCAGCAGCCGCCGCCG
rnacentral:rRNA from 1 species